rnacentral:rRNA from 1 species
GAGUUUGAUCCUGGCUCAGAAUCAACGCUGGCGGCGCUGCCUAACACAUGCAAGUCGAACUGAGAAAACUCCCUUCGGGGGGUGAGUACAGUGGCUGAACUGGGUGAGUAACACUGUGGGUUACCUGCCCUCGAGUGGGGAAUAACUCUGGGAAACCGGGGCUAAUACCGCAUACGAUCCUUCAGGAUGAAAGUCUUCGGACGCUCGAGGAGGGGUCCGCGGCCGAUUAGCUUGUUGGCGGGGUAACGGCCCACCAAGGCAAAGAUCGGUAGCCGGCCUGAGAGGGCGCACGGUCACACUGGCACUGAGACACGGGCCAGACUCCUACGGGAGGCAGCAGUGAGGAAUCUUGGACAAUGGGGGAAACCCUGAUCCAGCGACGCCGCGUGAGUGAUGAAGCCUUUCGGGGUGUAAAGCUCUUUCAGCGGGGACAAUCAUGAUGGUACCCGCACAAGCAGCUGCGGCUAACUACGUGCCAGCAGCCGCGGUAAUACGUAGGCAGCAAGCGUUGUUCGGAAUUACUGGGCGUAAAACGAGUGUAGGCGGUCUGCCAAGUCUGUUGUGAAAUCUCCCGGCUCAACUGGGAGGGUGCGUCGGAAACUGGCAGGCUCGAGUGCGAGAGGGGAGAGUGGAAUUCCUGGUGUAGCGGUGGAAUGCGUAGAUAUCAGGAGGAACACCGGUGGUGAAGACGGCUCUCUGGACUCGCCACUGACGCUGAGACUCGAAAGCGUGGGGAGCAAACAGGAUUAGAUACCCUGGUAGUC